CAGGGGAUCCAAGCAUAAUAUGUCGGAAUUCAGAGGCUUUGAGCAGCUUCGAUCUGGAAUAAAGGUUGUUGCAGAAAACAAGAAUACUGAAGAGCUCUGAUUUUGCAGAGGAGGGUUGUAUGGGAGUGAGUGCUGAAAGGGGUUAAUCUUUGACUACGGAGAUGAUCGGGGAAAGGAUAUGAUGAAAAAGGAGAUUCUCUCUUUAAUUUCUUAAAAUUAAAACAGAGGAUACAGGACGUUGGUUUGAAGAAAACGCCAUCGGCAUAGGAUCAUUUCGUCAUCUUUGGUGAAAUUGAGUGGUAUAUGGAGACUCCUCUCUCGAAUCAUUUGUGAUCCGCUCUUUAUGUAACACAAACUGAGUGGUUUUUCUAGCUGAAGUUUUCCGAAGAUAUACUUGAAGGGCAGGUUCCUCUUUACAUUUCCAUGGCGUCGAAUAUCCAUGACAUAGUUAAUACAACUUUAAACUGGAUAACAUUUGCUUUGGAUGCUCCCUCUGCUCGAGCUGUUGUAUUUGGAGUGCAUAUAGGCGGGCAUCUUUUUGUGGAGGUUCUUCUGCUGGUGGUCAUCCUCUUCCUACUUUCCCAGAAAAGUUACAAGCCUCCUAAAAGGCCUUUAAGCAAGAAGAAAGAACUCUGCUUCUUUCAAGAAAAAUCAGUCUUGAGUGUAUAGACAGCACGGGGUGUUGCUUCAAAUUGACAAGAUCAAGCUUACUGAUGCCUGUUUGGAGAUGGACCUUUGUUAACUGUUUACUGGUUUUCACAUACUUUUUGAGUUAAAGGUAAGGGCAGGUAUGAAAAAAGAAAGUAGCAGCCGUGUAUAUGAUUAAAGUGAGAGGUUUUAUCGUUUGACAUAGCUGUAAUAGCAGCCAGACUAAAAAAGUUAUAAUGUGGUAAUGGAAUAUAGGAAUUACUUGUAAUUAUUGGACGAUAUAUUUUGUAAGGAUACAGUAACCUGGCAUUGCUAUGCAUGUAUAACAUGGCUAUGAAGUGUUCUUAGAUUUAGUAUAUCUGAUAUUAGAUGACAUGUAUUUUUUUCAGUGAAGUCAAAGCUAAGCAAGUAGUUGAUUUUAUUUCAGCAAUUCUACUAGUUUCAUGCAUCUAGAACAAGCGCAUUGUUCUAUUAGUGUGAAAGAAGCAUUUCAGUAAGUGUUUAGAAUAACUAACUGCAGAAUGAAGUAAGCAACAAUUUCAGUGCGUACAUGAUAGCGUGAGAGGUCCAGUUGCCAAUUAGUGUGGUAUGUACUAUUGUUGUUUUUCUUUUCCUGAAAUAUUGUGUUACGUCCUAUUGCAAAAUCUUAUUACCAGAUCAUCAGUAUGGACUUGCAACCCAAGGAUCUCAAAGAGUCCUAAAAGCGUUUUAGAAGUUAUUUUUCUUUUGAUCUUUAUUCCUUGACAUAAAAACCUUCUAAGACCUUACUGAAAGAGACAAGAAACUGCUUAUCUUAGUGCAACUGCUUCCUACAUUUUAGCAGUUUUUGAACAAGAGACAGAUUUAGCUGGCCUACAUAAUUGUUACUGACUAGACCUUAAUAAUAUCUGGUUGAGCUGCUAGUACACUUAGCCACUAAAUAGAACUAUUUGGCUCACAAAAUCUUAUUGAUAUACUUUUGUUACGUGCACUUGUUGGCCCACGGUACAUCUCUCUUCCUCAAAAAUGAGUUCAUCCCUGAGUGCAAAAGAUGGGCUAACAGGGAACGAAUUGGCCUCAAAUUAACCUCUACAAAACAUCUGCAGGCAUAAUGUGAUGUCUCAAGUUUGAAGAUCGCCCUUAGUAGAUGGAGUGAAAGCUAUGAUGAACCGUAGAUGAGGGAAAUUGCUAAGUAAGUUUAUUAAUGUCUCGUGUCUGGGGUCAGGUGACAAGUCGUGUUAGAGAAAUCUUGCAGCAAGCAUGAGGCUUGCUUGCGCUGUUCUUGCCCUUGUCAGCCUAUGGUUGAGACUUGGAGAAUCUUGGAUAUUGUUAUAGAUGCAAAUAUGCAAGGUGUAGCAAGAACAAGAAAUUGACAUUCAAUUAAAU